AGAGUUUGAUCMUGGCUCAGGACGAACGCUGGCGGCGUGGAUAAGGCAUGCAAGUCGAACGGGAUGGAGUCGCAAGCAAUUGCUUCUCCUGAGAGUGGCGAACGGGUGAGUAACACGUGGGUAACAUACCUCCGGGUGGGGGAUAACCCAGGGAAACCUGGGCUAAUACCGCAGAUGUCGGAUCGUCCAUGACGGACUGACUAAAGGUGGGGACCUUCGGGCCCGCCGCCUGGAGAUUGGCCCGCGCCCCAUUAGCUUGUUGGCGGGGUAAUGGCCCACCAAGGCGACGAUGGGUAGCCGGCCUGAGAGGGUGUCCGGCCACACUGGGAUUGAGAUACGGCCCAGACUCCUUCGGGAGGCAGCAGUCGAGGAUCUUCCACAAUGGGCGAAAGCCUGAUGGAGCGACGCCGCGUGAGGGAUGAAGGCCCUUUGGGUUGUAAACCUCUGUUAGGGGAGAAGAACAGCGGGGGGAGCAACAUGCCCUCCGCCUGACGUUAUCCCCAGAGAAAGCUCCGGCCAACUCCGUGCCAGCAGCCGCGGUAAUACGGGGGGAGCGAGCGUUGUCCGGAAUCAUUGGGCGUAAAGGGCGUGUAGGCGGCUGGGCAAGUCGAAUGUGAAAUCCCACGGCUCAACCGUGGAACUGCGUUCGAAACUGCCCUGCUUGAGUGCGGGAGAGGUGUGCGGAAUUCCUGGUGUAGCGGUGGAAUGCGUAGAUAUCAGGAAGAACACCGGUGGCGAAGGCGGCACACUGGCCUGGCACUGACGCUGAGGCGCGAAAGCGUGGGGAGCGAACGGGAUUAGAUACCCCGGUAGUCCACGCUGUAAACGUUGGGCACUAGGUAUCGGAGGUCUCAACCCCUUCGGUGCCGCAGUUAACGCGUUAAGUGCCCCGCCUGGGGAGUACGGUCGCAAGGCUGAAACUCAAAGGAAUUGACGG
rnacentral:rRNA from 1 species